CCUAACAAGGAGAGCUGCUGAGUCAGGGACCCAUGAUUAAGAGCACAUGGCUUCAGCCUAUUUAAGACGGCUUCGCCACAGCUGCAUUGCUGGUAGCAACGUCGUGCUUGGGUGAGCUAUUCAGCUGUGUUCCUGCUUAAACAAGGCCUUUUGAACAAUUUCUAUGCCGGAAUCAGAACAGUCAUCCGGCUCCACCGCAAAAGCAGCUGCUUCUGGAAUGGAACACAGCAGAUGUUCAAGGACCCCUUCGAAAAUAAUCAGGCACGGAGGGAAUGAUGACUUUCCCAGUGAAACUACAGGUGCAGGAGGACGAGGAAGAAGAACCACCUACCAUAAGAAGUGCAUGACCAGCAGCAAGGUGGAUGGACUCGAUUACGACAGCAAUGAAUGCACCACUGAGAGACUUAAAAGGCCAAGCUGAAGACAGAUCAUCCUGGAGAGAAUCUAACUAUGUGGUUGCUAAGAGUUGACAUCGA